rnacentral:sRNA from 1 species
UGCCUAUGAUAAAACAACUGGAGAAACCUGUUAAGAUAUAACAGUCCUAUUUUAAUAUCUAAGGUAGUUAGCCAUUGACUUUAAAAAUCUAUAGUUUUCAGUGUGUGUGUGUGUGUGUGUGUGUGUGUGUGUUUCCUGCCUCAUGGAAUCUGAGAAUUUCUGCCAGCAA